rnacentral:tRNA from 1 species
GCUUCCAUAGCUCAGUUGGUUAGAGCUUCGUACUAAUACUUCAACUGCAAAGUGUUGGUAAUGCGAAGGUCGCAGGUUCAAGCCCUGCUGGGAGCA